CUGGCUUAGAAACAGCGUAGUCUGUUCAUGGUAGCAGAUGUUAAGGGAACAUCAUGGCCUAUUAAUAUUCAUUGCAAUUAAUGCUAAAUGAUUUUAAACCAGCUCCCCUUCUCUCGCUGGAGCUGACGACAGAUCUGAAAGGAGGCCAAUAAGGAUCCUGUAAAAAGAUACCAUUCCUUGUGGAGGUCGGGUGUGCUCCCCAGCAGAAGAGCCGGGGGUCACCACACAGAAGGGGAGUUGAUAUGCCAGAGCCAGUUCCAGGAGGAAUGCUCAAUGCUCUAUUACCAGGGUUUGUUUUAAAUCUAUACACUUCACUGAGUGAUUGGUUAAUCGGUUAGCUGACUGGCUAACAGUGAUUUCAGCAGAGGAAGAGUCUGCCUGGAUUCCAGCUGAAGAUUCCUACAAGCCAGUGGAGGGAAGAUGUUGCUUUUGACUCAGACGACUGUACAGAUUUGGUGGUUAAAGACUCAGACUCAGGUGAAUUCAACCUAAACUUUUGGGAACUCUGAGUUUCCUCUCACUGUCUUUCUGUGGAGACUGAGCUGUUUAAUUUGUUUUCUUUAUUUCUGUUUAUGCAUAACUGUGAAGACAAUGUAUGUGGAUUAUAAAAUUGCCAUGUUAUGUUGUAGAAAUUAAGUUAUUAUUCAUUAUGUUUCUUUAUCAUAAGAAUUAUAAUGUUGGUACUUAA